rnacentral:tRNA from 1 species
GGAGAGGUGCAGGAGUGGUUGAACUGGCACGCCUGGAGAGCGUGUGUGCUCGUAAGAGUACCGUGGGUUCGAAUCCCACCCUCUCCG